rnacentral:snRNA from 1 species
GUGCUUGCUUUGGUAGCACAUAUACUAAAAUUGGAAUGAUACAGAGAUUAUCAUGGCCCCUGCGCAAGGAUGAUGUGCAAAUUUGUGAAGCAUUUCAUGUUUUU